UACAGAGGGGGCAAGCGUUGUUCGGAAUUACUGGGCGUAAAGGGCGCGUAGGCGGCCUGUUAAGUCGAACGUGAAAUCCCCGGGCUCAACCCGGGAACUGCGUCCGAUACUGGCAGGCUUGAAUUCGGGAGAGGGAUGUGGAAUUCCAGGUGUAGCGGUGAAAUGCGUAGAUAUCUGGAGGAACACCGGUGGCGAAGGCGCACAUCUGGCCCGAUACUGACGCUGAAGCGCGAAAGCUAGGGGAGCAAACGGG
rnacentral:rRNA from 1 species